UACGUAGGGUGCGAGCGUUAAUCGGAAUUACUGGGCGUAAAGCGUGCGCAGGCGGUUUUGUAAGUCAGAUGUGAAAUCCCCGAGCUCAACUUGGGAACUGCGUUUGAAACUACAAGACUAGAAUAUGUCAGAGGGGGGGUAGAAUUCCACGUGUAGCAGUGAAAUGCGUAGAGAUGUGGAGGAAUACCAAUGGCGAAGGCAGCCCCCUGGGAUCAAUG
rnacentral:rRNA from 1 species